rnacentral:rRNA from 1 species
UUAGGAAUAUUCGUCAAUGGGGGAAACCCUGAACGAGCAAUGCCGCGUGAAGGAAGAAGGUCCUAUGGAUUGUAAACUUCUGUUGUAAGGGAAGAAUGACCUUUGUAGGAAAUGACAAAGGAGUGACGGUACCUUUCAAGAAAGCUCCGGCUAACUACGUGCCAGCAGCCGCGGUAAUACGUAGGGAGCGAGCGUUAUCCGGAAUUAUUGGGUGUAAAGGGUGUGUAGGCGGUAAGUUAAGUUUAAGGUUUAAGGCUAGAGCUCAACUCUAGCAUGCCUUAGAAACUGACUUUCUUGAGUACGGUAGAGGCAAGUGGAAUUUCUAGUGUAGCGGUAAAAUGCGUAGAUAUUAGAAGGAACACCAGUGGCGAAGGCGACUUGCUGGGCCGAAACUGACGCU